AACGAACGCUGGCGGCGCGCCUAAUACAUGCAAGUCGAGCGAGAAGACGUAGCAAUACGUUUGUAAAGCGGCGAACGGGUGAGGAAUACAUGGGUAACCUACCCUCGAGUGGGGAAUAACUAGCCGAAAGGUUAGCUAAUACCGCGUACGCUCCUCGGACUUCGGUUCAGGGAGGAAAGCGAUACCGUGGGUAUCGCGCUCUUGGAUGGGCUCAUGUCCUAUCAGCUUGUUGGUGAGGUAACGGCUCACCAAGGCUUCGACGGUAGCUGGUCUGAGAGGACGAUCAGCCACACUGGCACUGCGACACGGGCCAGACUCCUACGGGAGGCAGCAGUAAGGAAUAUUGCGCAAUGGGACGAAAGCCUGACGCAGCGACGCCGC
rnacentral:rRNA from 1 species